rnacentral:lncRNA from 1 species
GGGUUCUUCUUCAUGGGUCUCUUCCAUUCACCGCAUCCUGGUGCUGCUUCACACUUGGGGUUGUCAAUCUUUGGUGCCUCCCACAUACCAUCUUCCUCAUCGUCCCAGUCUUCAGGUUUGGUCGCCUCUGGGUCGUCCACCUCCUCAGGCUCAUCAUCUAACCAUCCUUCGGGCUUCUCAGCUUCGUCGUCUUCUAUCUCCAUGGGUGCAUCCUCGUCCCAGUCCUCAGGCUUCACGGCGUUAGGGUCAGGAAUCUUGGCUCUCUCAUCCCAGUCUUCUGGUUUCUUGUCUUCAGG